AACGAACGCUGGCGGCGUGCUUAACACAUGCAAGUCGAACGCGAAAGGGACUUCGGUCCUGAGUAGAGUGGCGCACGGGUGAGUAACGCGUAAGUGAUCUACCCCUGUAUUUGGGAUAACUAUGGGAAACUGUAGCUAAUACCGGAUACGUUCAUGUGAUUGCGAUCAUGUGAAGAAAGAUGGCCUCUUCAUGAAAGCUAUUGUACAGGGAGGAGCUUGCGUACCAUUAGCUAGUUGGUAGGGUAAUGGCCUACCAAGGCAACGAUGGUUAGCGGGUCUGAGAGGAUGAUCCGCCACACUGGAACUGAAACACGGACCAGACUCCUACGGGUGGCUG
rnacentral:rRNA from 1 species